rnacentral:tRNA from 1 species
GGGGCUGUAGCUCAGGGGUAAGAGCGCCAGUCUUAUAAACUGGAUGUCGCUGGUUCAAUUCCAGCCAGCCCUACCA